CAUUGUUACUUCCAUUCCUUCCAGAUCAGUUGGCAAUUUGUCAACCGAUGUUGUCUUGAGGAUGUCAACUGAUUUUACAACAAAGUACUUCAAUUAGACUGUAUAGAGAUUUCUCACAUGCAGCUGUGGGUUACAGAAAGUAAAGAUGGACAAAUCAAGCAGGGGCAUAACUACAAAGUAACUAA